rnacentral:rRNA from 1 species
GACGAACGCUGGCGGUGUGCUUAACACAUGCGAGUCGAACGGUAAGGCCCUUUCGGGGGUACACGAGUGGCGAACGGGUGAGUAACACGUGAGUAACCUGCCCUCAUCUCUGGGAUAACAGUCGGAAACGGUUGCUAAUACUGGAUAUGAGCCUGCAAGGCAUCUUGUGGGUUGGAAAGAUUUUUUGGUUGGGGAUGGACUCGCGGCCUAUCAGCUUGUUGGUGAGGUAGUGGCUCACCAAGGCUUCGACGGGUAGCCGGCCUGAGAGGGCGACCGGCCACAUUGGGACUGAGAUACGGCCCAAACUCCUACGGGAGGCAGCAGUGGGGAAUAUUGCACAAUGGACGGAAGUCUGAUGCAGCAACGCCGCGUGCGGGAUGACGGCCUUCGGGUUGUAAACCGCUUUCAAUUGUGACGAAGCUUUUUGUGACGGUAGCAGUAGAAGAAGCACCGGCUAACUACGUG